AUUGAACGCUGGCGGCAGGCCUAACACAUGCAAGUCGAGCGAGCGGCGGACGGGUGAGUAAUGUAUGGGGACUGCCCGAUAGAGGGGGAUAACUACUGGAAACGGUGGCUAAUACCGCAUACUAUCGGAUAACCCAUAUGGGAUUAGCUAGUAGGUGGGGUAAAGGCUCACCUAGGCGACGAUCUCUAGCUGGUCUGAGAGGAUGAUCAGCCACACUGGGACUGAGACACGGCCCAGACUCCUACGGAGGCAGCAGUGGGGAAUAUUGCACAAUGGGCGCAAGCCUGAUGCAGCCAUGCCGCGUGUAUGAAGAAGGCCCUAGGGUUGUAAAGUACUUUCAGUCGGGAGGCGUUACCGACAGAAGAAGCACCGGCUAACUCCGUGCCAGCAGCCGCGGUAAUUC
rnacentral:rRNA from 1 species